rnacentral:rRNA from 1 species
GACGAACGCUGGCGGCGUGCCUAAUACAUGCAAGUCGAACGAACCGCGACUAAGUGCUUGCACUAAGUCAAGGUGAGUGGCGAACGGGUGAGUAACACGUGGGUAACCUACCUCAUAGUGGGGGAUAACAGUCGGAAACGACUGCUAAUACCGCAUAGGACAUGGAAUCACAUGAUUCCGUGAGGAAAGGUGGCGCAAGCUAUCGCUAAGAGAUGGACCCGCGGUGCAUUAGCUAGUUGGUAGGGUAAAGGCCUAUCAAGGCGAUGAUGCAUAGCCGACCUGAGAGGGUGAUCGGCCACAUUGGGACUGAGACACGGCCCAAACUCCUACGGGAGGCAGCAGUAGGGAAUCUUCCGCAAUGGACGCAAGUCUGACGGAGCAACGCCGCGUGAGUGAAGAAGGUCUUCGGAUCGUAAAGCUCUGUUGUUAGAGAAGAACAGCGCAUAGAGUAACUGCUAUGCGUGGA